GACGAACGCUGGCGGCGUGCUUAACACAUGCAAGUCGAACGGAAAGGCCCUGCUUUUGUGGGGUGCUCGAGUGGCGAACGGGUGAGUAACACGUGAGUAACCUGCCCUUGACUUUGGGAUAACUUCAGGAAACUGGGGCUAAUACCGGAUAGGAGCUCCUGCUGCAUGGUGGGGGUUGGAAAGUUUCGGCGGUUGGGGAUGGACUCGCGGCUUAUCAGCUUGUUGGUGGGGUAGUGGCUUACCAAGGCUUUGACGGGUAGCCGGCCUGAGAGGGUGACCGGCCACAUUGGGACUGAGAUACGGACCAGACUCCUACGGGAGGCAGCAGUGGAGAAUAUUGCACAAUGGGCGGAAGCCUGAUGCAGCAACGCCGCGUGCGGGAUGACGGCCUUCGGGUUGUAAACCGCUUUCGCCUGUGACGAAGCGUGAGUGACGGUAAUGGGUCAAGAAGCACCGGCUAACUACGUG
rnacentral:rRNA from 1 species